UGCCCCAUGGCUGAGUUGGUUACAGCGUCCGACUGUUAUAGUAUCCGAUAAGGGAAACAGACAAUCGGAAGGUCGUGAGUUCGAGCCUCACUGGGGCAG